AUCAGACAUCAGAAGAACUUCAUCACUUUCUUUUGUAUCGCUAUCUUGGACCACCGCCACAGUAGCUUUUGCCCGAUCUCUGAGCUGUAGGUAAUCUCUGACUCGAUGCUUCAACUCAUCACACCUGUAACAUCUGAUCUUAUUGUAGUCCCUUGACUUGGAUCUGGACUGCCCACCUUGUAAUCCUCUGUCCCUUCAUCCUCGGCCACCACCUCUUCCAAUCACCAUC
rnacentral:lncRNA from 1 species